rnacentral:rRNA from 1 species
UACAUGGGGUGCAAGCGUUGCUCGGAAUUAUUGGGCGUAAAGCGCACGUAGGCGGUUCGUUAAGUCGGAUGUGAAAGCCCUCGGCUCAACUGAGGAAGUGCACCCGAAACUGGCGAGCUUGAGUACGAAAGAGGAUCGCGGAAUUCCCGGUGUAGCGGUGAAAUGCGCAGAUAUCAGGAGGAACACCAAUGGCGAAGGCAGCUCGCUGGGACGGUACUGACGCUGAGGCGCGAAAGCGUGGGGAGCAAACAGG